rnacentral:misc_RNA from 1 species
UUUCUCGUUUGCACGUCUCGUAAGAGCUGAUGCAACUUGACGUACGAUGUACGAUCUGUAAUGAAACGGUUUUCUUUUCGUCGAAUGCACGAGCUCGAAACUCCAAACCCCUGAUCCGAUCUACUACGGGUCUGACCACUCUGACCUUGGCGCGCGCGCGCAAAGAAAAUAUCGAAAUGGCGAGCGAGGAAAUAAUCGAAGCUAAUAAAAAGCCGCAACCCGUGUUUAAAAAUCGCUCCUUUCAACAGAAAUUUCGACAGACUAGCACCACUGGGAAAAAACGUACUUGGCGGUCAUUGAAACAAGUUUUGGCUCAGGAACGUUCGUUACCAUGGCCAGCGACAGUAAAACACUAUAGUUCCAUCAAUGCACCACCAAGCUUCAAACCUGCAAAAAAGUACUCUGAUAUUUCCGGAUUACCAGCACGAUACACAGAUCCGCAAACUAAAUUGUAUUAUGCCACCGCUGAAGAAUUUGCAACGGUUCGCAGUUUGCCGAUGGAUAUAACAGCUGGAUAUUUGGCAUUACGUGGAGCGUCUAGUAUCGUUGGUUAAAAUUCGGACGAUGUGGCCUUGCAUUCACGUCGUACAUCAUGGUCCAUGUACAGUCCAGUAACGCAACAUUCAGGGCCAACACAAAUUCGUCAAGAGACAAAUGAAUCAGUUUAAUAGAGAAAAAACUAUGUAAUAAACCUAUAAAUAAUCAAAGAGCAAACAUAUUUACUAUACAUAUGUUGACAUCGAAAUAAAACACAUUACGAAUUCAGCAACAUGAUUACUUAUACAGGCAAUCAGUUGAGGACAUUUAAAAAAGGAAAUGUUAGCAAUAAUAAUACAUUAUAUUGUUUGCAAUAUAACAGCAACAUGACAAUAACAAAUGAUUGAUAACAAAUUAAUGACAUAUUGCUACCAAUUUGCCAUUGUUAAAAAUAGAAUUCAUGAUUUGAACCUAACAGACAUAAUGCUGUUUCAAUUUGUUCAGAGUUUGUCUAAAUUAGUUACUGUAUGAUUGUUGGCAACAUAACUGCACCAUCAAGACAUUUGGAUAUCUCAGAAUGCAGCCAAGAUCAGCUAUUCGACCUGCAGUGGAACCACGACCUUGGUGCUGAAUGUAAUUUUCUUAUAAUUUUUACCACUUCCAGCUCAUCUAAACUACGCACCUACACUUUUAUCAGCCUUGAAACGUUCUAGCUAAAUAUCGGUGCUCGGAAGCAUUUAAAAUUUUUUCUUUUUUUUGUAUAUCCUUGUCCUUUCCUUCAUUCUUAUUAUUUUUGUAUUACUAUUCUUUAUUAGUGCGAGCAUUAACGAGUGUGCAAAAUAAAGUGUUGCCUCACAAUUUUCGCUGUA